AUUUAUAUAGUUUAAUAAAAAUAUUGAUUUGUGGAGUCAAAGUUAUAUAUAUAUAUAUUAUAAAUU
rnacentral:tRNA from 1 species